CAGUAGCCGCGGUAAUACGAAGGGUGCAAGCGUUACUCGGAAUUACUGGGCGUAAAGCGUGCGUAGGUGGUGGUUUAAGUCCGUUGUGAAAGCCCUGGGCUCAACCUGGGAAUUGCAGUGGAUACUGGGUCACUAGAGUGUGGUAGAGGAUAGUGGAAUUUCCGGUGUAGCAGUGAAAUGCGUAGAGAUCGGAAGGAACAUCUGUGGCGAAGGCGACUAUCUGGGCCAACACUGGCACUGAGGCACGAAAGCGUGGGGAGCAAACAGGAUUAGAUACCCCAGUAGUCCCUGUCUCUUAUAA
rnacentral:rRNA from 1 species